rnacentral:tmRNA from 1 species
GACCUUGUAGCGCCGGGCCCGACGGCCUAUAUCGGGGGUGCCGGAUUCGUCCGGAUAUGGCGAUAAAUGGCGUCGUGAACUAGAUGCAGCGGACCCGGGGGCGGUACCCGGCGGCUCCACCAGUUUUCACCGUCCGCCGUCGAGGUGUCGCUCGGCGAUGAACGGGACUCUGGGGCCGAACUAGGAUCGACGUGUGUUGAAAGACGAAUGCUUUCGCCCGGCCUGAAUGCGCCGUUAAAACGUUCAAACACACAAAUGCCAACGACAACGAGGCAUUCGCGAUUGCUGCGUAACUAAGUCCUUCUGGGACUAAGUAUCACAGGCAAAAAGCGCGGUACGGACCACACCGGGCA